ACGACCCGCACCUGCUUCUCGUCAUCCACCUCCUCUGCCUGCCACACCUGCCAUCAAUCAACCUCAUCUCUGACAGCACUUCUACCCCGGUUCUCCAGUCAACUCCUGCUUGAUCAUCGUUGCUCCUGACCCGGUCCACUCACCUCCGUCCUCCGCUCCGUCAGCUGGGCUCGCCACCCUCCCCUCGGACCUCUUCCACGGUGCCCUCCCGGCUCCUCCCCGUGCCUCCUUGCUUCUCGGUCACCAGUGCCCCCGGCUCCCUUGUCUCAGUCUCCUCAGUUCCUCGUGCCCGUGUUUCCCCCGGCGUCCGCCUCUCCCUCACCUCCACUCCCUCAACCCUGUUUCCCCUUCAAUAAAGCCUGUGUUUCCCGAG